rnacentral:rRNA from 1 species
UACAGAGGUCUCAAGCGUUGUUCGGAUUCAUUGGGCGUAAAGGGUGCGUAGGUGGCGCCGUAAGUCAGGUGUGAAAUUUCGGAGCUUAACUCCGAAACUGCAUUUGAUACUGCGGUGCUUGAGGACUGGAGAGGAGACUGGAAUUCACGGUGUAGCAGUGAAAUGCGUAGAUAUCGUGAGGAAGACCAGUGGCGAAAGCGAACUUCCUGGACCAAUACUGACGCUCAUGUGCGAAAGCGUGGGGAGCAAACAGG